rnacentral:rRNA from 1 species
GAUGAACGCUAACCGCAGGCCUAAUACAUGCAAGUCGAACGGUGUCUUCGGACAUAGUGGCGCACGGGUGCGUAACACGUAUGCUACCUACCUUACAUUGGGGGAUAGCCUUUCGAAAGGGAGAUUAAUACCGCAUAAGACAGUAGCUGGGCAUCCAGCAGCUGUUAAAGAUUUAUCGAUGUAAGCUGGGCAUGCGUCCAAUUAGCUAGUUGGUGAGGUAACGGCUCACCAAGGCAAUGAUUGGUAGGGGAACUGAGAGGUCAAUCCCCCACCCUGGCACUGGGAUACGGGCCAGACUCCUACGGGAGGCAGCAGUAGGGAAUAUUGGGCAAUGGACGCAAGUCUGACCCAGCCAUGCCGCGUGCAGGAUGAAGGCGUUAUGCGUUGUAAACUGCUUUUAUACAGGAAGAAACGACUCUUGCGAGAGGCAUUGACGGUACUGUAUGAAUAAGCACCGGCUAACUCCGUGCCAGCCGCCGCGGUAAUAC